UCUUCCAUAGUCUAGUGGUCAUGAUAUCCGCUUGUCAAUCCGGUUCAACUACCUCGUCUAAGGGUAGCGGACCAAUGACAGGUCGCGGAUGGCCCGGGUUCGAUUCCCGGUGGGAGAG